AAUAAGUGAUUGUAAAUGACUUGAAAAUAUGGAAAAGGUUUAAUUGUAAAAAAAAAAUAUGAAACAUACUGUAAAUGCCAUGAAAUUCUUAGUCUAAAUAUAAUGUAAAAGAAUUUAUUCGUAAAGUGAAUAAAGGAAAUAAAUAACUUGAAAAACUGUGAAAAAAAAAUAAAAAAAAGCCUUGAUGGAAUAAAACUGGGUAAAUUUGUUUGUAAAUGUUGAUAAAAAGAUACUGAAAGUGAAUGUAAAUGAGAUUGAUAAAAGCACAUUAAAAAAACCCUGUAAAUACCCAAUGUAAAUAAAUCGAAUAACACUGAAAAAAAUUGAAAAUUUGGAAAAAAAUAAACAUUACGUAAAGUCCACAAUUGAAUGAAUUUAAAAUAAACACAAGGAAGGAAAUUGAAGAAAGAAAGAAAGAAAGAAAAAUAUAGAAAACAGAAAAAAAAACGUCCUAGAUUUGCCGUCCAAAGGAAUAACAUAACCUUGACACGUUUAUACAUGUUCAAACACGUUCUUGAAGACAUGUAAACAAAAAACAGCUGUUGUGGCUCCGUCCAGACUCGCUCUUAAAAAUACACAAUACCUCAUUCCAUACAAUACUCAUACACCCCAGGAAGAUGUAUGGGGGAGUGUAUGAGGGUGUUGUAGCUCUAGGGUGUAUGAGUGUUGUAUUUGUGGGAGUAUUUUUUUUGUAGGGGUGUGUAGACGUCUUGUAGUGAAGAUGUUGCCCAAGUCACUCACGUUUGAUCAGCUGAUUGGUCGACCCUGGGGUUAUACUCGUGCCCAGAAUCUUAAGCUGAAGCUGAGGUGUGGAGGCGAGCCGGGGGAGGAUGGAGGUAGUGCGUCAGUCUCCAGGCAGCAUCCUCCUGAUCUCAGUCUCAGCUUAACGUCGCCCUCCUCACUGCUACCUCCGAAUACCCACGAUCCUGCCGAGAUUGUCUCCCCCGUCAACGUGUACAAGGCUUCAGUGUUGAUGGUUCCUGUAGAUGACUGAACCACAUAGGCAGCGGACCUACAACCACAACUAUCACCACUACCACCAUCGUCCCAGCCCUUCACCACCACUCUCACCACCACCCACCCGCCCACUGCACCGCACGGCGCUUCUCAAGGUGGCGGCGGGGUAAGUGGGGAGGAGGACUUGGGGACACCACAAUCAUCCCCAAAAUUGUCUAGGUGGACCGCCCAAAUCCCCGGUUUCCCUAAGGAGCUGGAGAGAAACAUUAAAAUCAAGAAAGGCGCCGACCAACUAGGGGUGAACAUCGAGGUGGUGGACCAAGGUGUGAACGGGGUAGUCGUCUCAUCUCUGGUCAGGAACGGCGCUGUGCACAAGGACGGUCGGCUGCACGCUGGGGACUUUAUCCUGAGUGUAAACAAUGAAUCUAUGAGACACAUUACUAACUCCCAGGCCAGAGCGAUCUUGAGAAGGACCCAACUCGUCAGCACGGAUGUCAGUAUCCUGUACAUCCGUGGGCAGGACGCUGCUGUAUUCCGAGAAGAGUGUCUCUUACAGUACCGUGAAGGACAGCUGCAGCAACAACAACAAUGUCAACAGUCUCAUUACCCACAGCACCAGACUAGUCCAAGGAUCUUCCCGAAGUACUACAGGUAAGUUGUAGGGCUGGAGUUUAGUUAUGUUGUGCCUCUCCUCCUCCUUCUCCUCUUCCAUAUC